rnacentral:rRNA from 1 species
GACGAACGCUGGCGGCGUGCUUAACACAUGCAAGUCGAACGGUGAAGCGAGUGCUUGCACUCGUGGAUCAGUGGCGAACGGGUGAGUAACACGUGAGUAACCUGCCCAUCACUCUGGGAUAAGCACUGGAAACGGUGUCUAAUACUGGAUACGACCACCCCUUGCAUGGGGUGUUGGUGGAAAGAUUUAUCGGUGGUGGAUGGACUCGCGGCUUAUCAGCUUGUUGGCGGGGUAUUGGCCCACCAAGGCGUCGACGGGUAGCCGGCCUGAGAGGGUGACCGGCCACACUGGGACUGAGAUACGGCCCAGACUCCUACGGGAGGCAGCAGUGGGGAAUAUUGCACAAUGGGCGAAAGCCUGAUGCAGCGACGCCGCGUGAGGGAUGACGGCCUUCGGGUUGUAAACCUCUUUCAGCAGUGAAGAAGCGAAAGUGACGGUACCUGCAGAAGAAGCACCGGCUAACUACGUG